rnacentral:rRNA from 1 species
ACUUAACCCCGGGUUUCUGCAUUAGAUACGGGCAGAAUUAGAGUGUGAUAGGAGGAUGAUCAGAUAUUUCGUGGUGUAGCGGUGAAAUGCGCAGAUAUCAGGAGAGGAACACGCGGGUGAGCGAAGACGGAUCUUCUGGGCCAUUACUGACGCUGAAGGAGCGAAAAGCGUGAGAGGAGCGAAACAGGGAUUAGGAUACCCUUGAGUAGUCCACGCCGGUAAAACGUUGAGAGAACUAGGUGUUGGGGGACAUUUCCCAGUGUUGUCGGGUGCCGCAAGCUAACGGCAUUAAGUUCCCCGCUGGGGGAGUACGGGCCGGCAAGGCUAAAACUUAAAAGAAAAUUGACGGGGGCCCGCACAAAGCAGCGAGAGCAGGUGGCU